UACGUAGGGCGCAAGCGUUGUCCGGAAUUAUUGGGCGUAAAGAGCUCGUAGGCGGUUUGUCGCGUCUGCCGUGAAAGCCCGGGGCUUAACUCCGGGUCUGCGGUGGAUACGGGCAGACUAGAGGCAGGUAGGGGAGAACGGAAUUCCUGGUGUAGCGGUGAAAUGCGCAGAUAUCAGGAGGAACACCGAUGGCGAAGGCAGGUCUCUGGGCCACUACUGACGCUGAGAAGCGAAAGCAUGGGGAGCGAACAGG
rnacentral:rRNA from 1 species